CUCGAACACAUCGUCCAUUCGACGGACGGCGUUGGGCGGUCGCGGCGGCCACUCGCCUCGUCUCCCGAAAUCCAUCUGCCAAGUUUGCGACGACUCGUGCGAAGCCUAAACGUUUCAACGACUUUGCGCUGCCGUUGCUCUCUUUAACCACUUU
rnacentral:misc_RNA from 1 species